rnacentral:rRNA from 1 species
GCUAUGAACGGCAGGGAUAAACGCUGAAAGCAUCUAAGUGUGAAGCCCCCCUCGAGAUGAGAUUUCCCAUUCCUAUAUGGAAGUAAGACCCCUGAGAGAUGAUCAGGUAGAUAGGCUGGAAGUGGAAUUGCAGCGAUGCAUGGAGCGGACCAGUACUAAUCGGUCGAGGACUUAACCAA